rnacentral:rRNA from 2 species
UGGAUCCAGACUUUGAUUAUGGCUCAGGACGAACGCUGGCGGCGCGCCUAACACAUGCAAGUCGAACGAGCGAGAGAGAGCUUGCUUUCUCGGGCGAGUGGCGAACGGGUGAGUAACGCGUGAGGAACCUGCCUCAAAGAGGGGGACAACAGUUGGAAACGACUGCUAAUACCGCAUAAGCCCACGGGUCGGCAUCGACCAGAGGGAAAAGGAGUAAUCCGCUUUGAGAUGGCCUCGCGUCCGAUUAGCUAGUUGGUGAGGUAAUGGCCCACCAAGGCAACGAUCGGUAGCCGGACUGAGAGGUUGAACGGCCACAUUGGGACUGAGACACGGCCCAGACUCCUACGGGAGGCAGCAGUGGGGAAUAUUGCACAAUAGGGGAAACCCUGAUGCAGCGACGCCGCGUGGAGGAAGAAGGUCUUCGGAUUGUAAACUCCUGUUGUUGGGGAAGAUAAUGACGGUACCCAACAAGGAAGUGACGGCUAACUACGUGCCAGCAGCCGCGGUAAAACGUAGGUCACAAGCGUUGUCCGGAAUUACUGGGUGUAAAGGGAGCGCAGGCGGGAAGACAAGUUGGAAGUGAAAUCUAUGGGCUCAACCCGUAAACUGCUUUCAAAACUGUUUUUCUUGAGUAGUGCAGAGGUAGGCGGAAUUCCCGGUGUAGCGGUGGAAUGCGUAGAUAUCGGGAGGAACACCAGUGGCGAAGGCGGCCUACUGGGCACCAACUGACGCUGAGGCUCGAAAGUGUGGGUAGCAAACAGGAUUAGAUACCCUGGUAGUCCACACCGUAAACGAUGAUUACUAGGUGUUGGAGGAUUGACCCCUUCAGUGCCGCAGUUAACACAAUAAGUAAUCCACCUGGGGAGUACGACCGCAAGGUUGCAA